UUGCCAAGUGCCUGCGGUCCCUGUCAGCCCAGAAAAGAGGAAUCCUUUCAGAGCUGCUGCUGUGAUUCUGGGGUUGCUGAGCCUCGUCCUCCUGGCAGGAAUCAUCAGCCUGGGCAUUAGAUUCCGCAAAGACAAAACCAGCUGGAACAAGGAGAGGAGCAGCCUGCGGGCGGCCAGUGCAAACAUGACCGAGGAGAGGGAGCGUUUAGAAGCCACAAACAGUCAGCUCAUCGGUGAAAGAGAUGAACUGCUGAAGAAGCUCUGCGAGGAAACUGGCUGCUCUGAGGAUUGGAAGAAAUGGGACUGCAGUUGUUACUCUUUCUCUUCGGAGAAAAAGACAUGGUUGGGAAGCAGAGAUGAAUGUGAAGGGCAAGGCGCGCACCUCGUCAUCAUAUCU